CAGCCAGCCAACGAAUCUGCUUACCUGAAUGUUUCUACAGAAACUUGUAAAAAGCUGGCAACAGGAGUUCAAGA
rnacentral:snoRNA from 1 species